GACGAACGCUGGCGGCGUGCUUAACACAUGCAAGUCGAACGGAAAGGCCCCUUUGGGGGUACUCGAGUGGCGAACGGGUGAGUAACACGUGAGUAACCUGCCCUUGACUUCGGGAUAACUUCAGGAAACUGGGGCUAAUACCGGAUAGGAAUCCUUGCUGCAUGGUGGGGGUUGGAAAGCUUCGGCGGUUUUGGAUGGACUCGCGGCUUAUCAGCUUGUUGGUGGGGUAGUGGCUUACCAAGGCUUUGACGGGUAGCCGGCCUGAGAGGGCGACCGGCCACAUUGGGACUGAGAUACGGCCCAGACUCCUACGGGAGGCAGCAGUGGGGAAUAUUGCACAAUGGGCGGAAGCCUGAUGCAGCAACGCCGCGUGCGGGAUGACGGCCUUCGGGUUGUAAACCGCUUUCAGCAGGGGCGAAGCUUGUGGUGACGGUACCUGCAGAAGAAGUACCGGCUAACUACGUG
rnacentral:rRNA from 1 species